AGCAUUACCUGACCACAAUCCAACUUUGACAGCGACGAGGAUGAGGACGACGUUCCAUUGGAGAAAAUCAGUCUUGUCACUGGAUUUUUGAGAAAAUUCAUAGAGGAAGCGUCACCAGAUGUGCUGCGUGACCUGAUGAAGUUUUGGGUGGGGUUGGAACUGCAAACUACAAAACUCAAUGUUGAGGUUGUAACCUCAACUUAUCCAGUGGCUCCCACCUGCUUCUUCAAGUUGAAGCUCCCCGGCCACUACCAGACCUACAAGAUUUUUCACCAGGACUUGAUGAUGGCCCUCAGUUCCGUAAGUUCUGGCUUUGGACUUGUGUAGGUGCAAGUUAAGUUGUGUCAUCAACUUCUUGCACUCGGUCCCUCUUUUGAAAUGGAAUCACUUAAAAGAGCAAUUCCUGCUAAUUUAUGCACCAUUAACGUUAUAAAGUUUGAUUAUUCUACUUGAUUGUCAGGCACCACCUUCACCUGUCAAUAAAUACUUUGGAGUUGGUUUGGUGAUUGUCUUUAGCCUGUGUUUUUUUAACUUGCACUAGUUCUUUAGUGAUUUUCAUAUUCUUAAUCUAGCUGCUAGUGUACUUUUGUGAUGUCCUCUGCAGUGCAAUGAGCUUGGAUCAUAUUAAGAUCAUCUCUUUGAGAGCUGUGGCAGCUUUCUUGGCCUCUCUAGUUCAUUAAGCUCAGACUUCCAUAGACAUUUAGUUGUAAUUAUUGAACAGUUUAUACAGCUAGUACAUGUUUAAUACAUUCAGAUGUUUAGGUAGAUACCAGUUUCUCCAAUAUUACUGUUGCCCUUUUACAGUAAUGUUCUAAAUGACAGUGUGUACACCUAACAAUGUUGGUUUUGUAAAGCCGAUUUGUCUAAAUUUGUUAUCCCUUUACAGUGAUGUGUUGUAAAUACAACUGUACUGCUACAUUUGAUAAAUUUACACAAGACUUCCCAGAAUUUUAUGUUCCCUUGAACAACAUUAAAGGUGUUAAACAAG